rnacentral:rRNA from 1 species
UACGUAGGGUGCAAGCGUUAAUCGGAAUUACUGGGCGUAAAGCGUGCGCAGGCGGUUUUGUAAGUCUGACGUGAAAUCCCCGAGCUUAACUUGGGAAUUGCGUUGGAGACUGCAAGGCUGGAGUCUGGCAGAGGGGGGUAGAAUUCCACGUGCAGCAGUGAAAUGCGUAGAGAUGUGGAGGAACACCGAUGGCGAAGGCAGCCCCCUGGGUCAAGACUGACGCUCAUGCACGAAAGCGUGGGGAGCAAACAGG